GAACCUGCGGAAGGAUCAUUACCGAGUGUAGGGUUCCUAGCGAGCCCAACCUCCCACCCGUGUUUACUGUACCUUAGUUGCUUCGGCGGGCCCGCCAUUCAUGGCCGCCGGGGGCUCUCAGCCCCGGGCCCGCGCCCGCCGGAGACACCACGAACUCUGUCUGAUCUAGUGAAGUCUGAGUUGAUUGUAUCGCAAUCAGUUAAAACUUUCAACAAUGGAUCUCUUGGUUCCGGCAUCGAUGAAGAACGCAGCGAAAUGCGAUAACUAGUGUGAAUUGCAGAAUUCCGUGAAUCAUCGAGUCUUUGAACGCACAUUGCGCCCCCUGGUAUUCCGGGGGGCAUGCCUGUCCGAGCGUCAUUGCUGCCCAUCAAGCACGGCUUGUGUGUUGGGUCGUCGUCCCCUCUCCGGGGGGGACGGGCCCCAAAGGCAGCGGCGGCACCGCGUCCGAUCCUCGAGCGUAUGGGGCUUUGUCACCCGCUCUGUAGGCCCGGCCGGCGCUUGCCGAACGCAAAUCAAUCUUUUCCAGGUUGACCUCGGAUCAGGUAGGGAUACCCGCUGAACUUAAGCAUAUCAAUAA
rnacentral:rRNA from 1 species